GGCCCGCUUCGAUUUCGAUUUCUUGUUGCUCGUUGACAUGUUCCUCGUCCCCCUUUGCUUCCGCUCUGUGGGCGCAGAUGCAGCGUGGCGUGGUCACGAGCUUGUCCCACAAGAACGCCCAUCUCCUAAAGGCUCGUGACGACCUUUGCCUUUUCCUUCUCCCCUUCGAGCUGUCUCUUUUUCGUCAAAUUACAUGGGGAAUCAUUGUCGAUCUUGUCACGUGAUCUGACCGAAUUUUCUUAUCUGACAUUUUUUCAGAUGUGGCAACCUUGGGCGAUUGGUUCAUUGGAUUCUUCAAACCGAUGCCUUUUUGAACACGCAAGGUGCCCUCAUGAUUUAUUUCAAGAUGGUAAGCUACUCACGCUCUUGCUGUUCCCAGGAGCAUUGCAUUCACCAAUCUAACGCCCUCAUUGUUGGUUUUGGCUCCAGCUAUUUGAGCUAAUGCAGAAGCGUGAUGUGUUUGCCAAUCCUUGUGUCGUUGGUAUCUUCAUGCCGAUCGCAAGAAGUUAGUCUCCUAUUUUAUGGUAAUAUUAUGAUUUUUUUAUGCAAUUCCAGAUGCUAGACAAGGAACGUGUGUAGGCUGAGGAUUCUAAGGUAGCCACCUUGUUUUCCUCACAUGGGGAUAUUGAUGUAUGAUGCGGAAGCAGGAAGUGUUGUCCAUGGCCUUUUGAUUGACACAAAAGUUGUUCAAUACUGCAGUAGGGACAUGCCUGAUUCACACAAUUCCAAUCAUUGCCUUUUGAAAGUUCCGUUCCUGUAGUAUUUGAGUUUAUGUCUACACUUACAUGAAGAGCAUCAGGUAUUUGUAAACCAAUAUUUUGCUUAGAAAGGUUCCUACAAAAAAAGAAUAACCUUAAGAAAGCAGAGCCGUUUGUGUGCUUCAUAUAAGCUAUAUACAUGCCAUCUCACCAAGCACUGCUAACAUGUUCUUUUUUCAAGAGAGCAUAUAUGUUUCUUUUUUUGUCACCAUGUCUUCACGGGCGCCCGUCACCCACACGCUCCUCACUUCCUAGGUACAUAUUCUUCCUGCAUGUACCUCAGUGCAUGAUUUUCCUAAUCAGAUGAAAGGAUAAGAACUGUACAUGGCGCCAUUCACUGGAAAUGCCUUCUCUUACACCUUGUGGUUAGUUUUUCAGUUCUGCACAUCAAGCACUAUCAAAGUUUAUCCUAAUUACGCCAACGGCCUCCCUAAUGAAAGACUUAGCCAUUUGUAAUUGAUCUGGUGUAAUUUACUACUUUAUUGUUGGAUAUGAAGUUGUUUUGCUAUAAAUACCUCACAUUCAGUAUGCAAUGUGCCACUAGAACUAUACGACAUCACAGAACAUGAAGUACUCCCUGCUAGGCACAACCAUACACUCUGUUAUUCUGAAUAUUUUGAUUUGGUCACAGAGAUUUGUUAUUUUAGUGAUCUAUUUAUUCGAUUUCAUAAUUAUGGUUUCUCUUACUAAUACUGCCAUAAGAUAAGAUUGUAAACUAAAUCUGACUGUCGUGUCAUAUUUUUAUCAUCUAAUUACUAAUUAAACUGACAGUAAGACAUUUUAUACCCUUUUGUAGAUGCUGCAGACUUUGCAAGUGUUCAGAGAAAUGAUGUGCUAAUUAAGGGGUUUAGGAGCACUAAUAAAGAAUCCGUGUUGCUGAACUUUUUGUACCACUAAUGAGUAAAGUGAGUUCUUUAUAGUUUGCUUCAAUUUAGUGUAGGAAGAUAUCGGAUGCAAAAGCCCAAUUCGGUGCAGCCAUCAUUUGUUUGUCGAUGAAUUUAUUUGUUUGUUGAAAUAGAGGACGUUGAAUUGUGAGGGUUUUGAGCCGUAUUUAUCGGGCCCGUAGCAACGCACGGGCAUGUUUAAUAAUAUUUCC
rnacentral:lncRNA from 1 species